UACGUAGGGGGCUAGCGUUGUCCGGAUUUAUUGGGCGUAAAGAGCGUGUAGGCGGCCAGGUAGGUCUGCUGUGAAAACUCGAGGCUCAACCUCGAGACGUCGGCGGAAACCAUCUGGCUAGAGUCCGGAAGAGGAGAGUGGAAUUCCUGGUGUAGCGGUGAAAUGCGCAGAUAUCAGGAGGAACACCGAGUGGAAGCGCAGACUGCGAUGCUGCUCAGCUGCGAAGACUGGGGAGCAAACAGG
rnacentral:rRNA from 1 species